UGCCAGCCGCCGCGGUAAGACGAACCGUCCAAACGUUAUUCGGUAUCACUGGGCUUAAAGAGUUCGUAGGCGGCCUGGUAGGUGAGAUGUGAAAUCCCACGGCUCAACCGUGGAACUGCGUUUCAAACCACCAGGCUCGAGGGAGAUAGAGGUGAGCGGAACAGAUGGUGGAGCGGUGAAAUGCGUUGAUAUCAUCUGGAACACCGGUGGCGAAAGCGGCUCACUGGAUCUCUUCUGACGCUGAGGAACGAAAGCUAGGGUAGCGAACGGGAUUAGAUA
rnacentral:rRNA from 1 species